rnacentral:rRNA from 1 species
CCUACGGGAGGCAGCAGUGGGGAAUAUUGCGCAAUGGAGGAAACUCUGAUGCAGUGACGCCGCGUGCAGGAAGACGGUUUUCGGAUUGUAAACUUCUGUUGAUAGUGAAGAAAAAUGACAGUAGCUGUGGAGCAAGCCCCGGCUAACUACGUGCCAGCAGCCGCGGUAAUACGUAGGGGGCAAGCGUUGUCCGGAAUUACUGGGUGUAAAGGGAGCGUAGGCGGGAAGGCAAGUCAGCUGUGAAAUCCCCGGGCUUAACUGGGAGACUGCAACUGAAACUGCUUUCCUUGAGUGCAGGAGAGGAUAGUGGAAGUCCGAGUGUAGCGGUGAAAUGCGUAGAUAUUCGGAGGAACACCAGUGGCGAAGGCGACUAACUGGGCAGUAACUGACGUUGAGGCUCGAAAGUGUGGGGAGCAAACAGGAUUAGAUACCCGAGUAGUC